rnacentral:tRNA from 1 species
GCCAGCGUAGCUCAGUUGGUAGAGCAGCUGAUUCGUAAUCAGCAGGUCGUCCGUUCAAGUCGGAUCGCUGGCU